GGAGGGUUGGCCGAACGGUAAGGCACCGGUCUCGAAAACCGUGGUCGAGGUCACACUCGUAGGGGUUCGAAUCCCUUACCCUCCG
rnacentral:tRNA from 1 species